rnacentral:rRNA from 2 species
AACGCUAGCUACAGGCUUAACACAUGCAAGUCGAGGGGAAACGACAUCGAAAGCUUGCUUUUGAUGGGCGUCGACCGGCGCACGGGUGAGUAACGCGUAUCCAACCUGCCCACCACUUGGGGAUAACCUUGCGAAAGUAAGACUAAUACCCGAUGAUAUCUCUAGACGACAUCUGAAAGGGAUUAAAGAUUUAUCGGUGAUGGAUGGGGAUGCGUCUGAUUAGCUUGUUGGCGGGGUAACGGCCCACCAAGGCAACGAUCAGUAGGGGUUCUGAGAGGAAGGUCCCCCACAUUGGAACUGAGACACGGUCCAAACUCCUACGGGAGGCAGCAGUGAGGAAUAUUGGUCAAUGGGCGAGAGCCUGAACCAGCCAAGUAGCGUGCAGGACGACGGCCCUAUGGGUUGUAAACUGCUUUUAUAAGGGAAUAAAGUGAGUCUCGUGAGACUUUUUGCAUGUACCUUAUGAAUAAGGACCGGCUAAUUCCGUGCCAGCAGCCGCGGUAAUACGGAAGGUCCGGGCGUUAUCCGGAUUUAUUGGGUUUAAAGGGAGCGUAGGCCGGAGAUUAAGCGUGUUGUGAAAUGUAGACGCUCAACGUCUGCACUGCAGCGCGAACUGGUUUCCUUGAGUACGCACAAAGUGGGCGGAAUUCGUGGUGUAGCGGUGAAAUGCUUAGAUAUCACGAAGAACUCCGAUUG